CUCUCUCUCUCUCUCUCUCUCUCUCUCUCAGCCAGCCUGUAAAGCCGGAAGCACACAGCUCCCUCUGUGACUCAGAUCUCCUUCCCUCUGCUCAUACCACCAGAGAGAAAGGCUGUGUUGAAGCUCAAACAGGGACUUCUUGAUUUCUCCAAACUGAGAGGUGACUUUUCACCAUAUUCUUGGUAGAAGUCCCUGAAGAGUCAUCUUACAGAUGAGAAGGAAGAUCUUCUCCUGGGAGGCCAAAACUUUGGCAGAUAUUGAGUAACUCAGAGAGGAAUUCACUCACAUGUGUAGGCUCUACCGCAAAAUCUGGAGGAGAUAAAUUUUGGGGGAUUGGUUUCCUAGCCUCAGACUAAGAGUUUAAGUUAAAAAAUGUUCUAUAGAGAAGAUUGUCUGAGAAACAAGCACUCUCAUACAUUUCUGGUAGAAAUGCAAAUUGAUACAACCCUUUUGGAGGGGAAUUUGGCAAUAUCUAACAAAGUUACACGUGCACUUGCCUUUUGAUGCACUUACCUCAAUAAUCCUACUUCUAGGAAUUUGUCCUGAAGAAUAUACCUCCAACAAUGGGAAAACAUAUAUGUACAAGUUUAUUCACUGAAGCAUUGUUUAUAAAUGCAAAAUGCUUGAAACAGUCUAAAUGCCUGCAAAGGAGAGUUGUUGAAUAAACAAUGGGACCUUCACACAAAGGAGUACUAUGCAGCUGUAAAGAAGAAUGAGGGAGACUUCUAUGCACCACACACAUAUUUUUAAAGGGAUAUAUUUUUAGGGAGAAAUUAGAGUGUGAAAGAGAUUCUAUAGUACACUGCCUUAUAUGUGAGAGAGAAGGGGAAACAAGAAAGUAUACAUGAAUCUAUGCAAUUGUGAAAAAGAAACAGAACGGAUAAAGCAGAAACUAAUGGGGUUGGUUACUUACAAGCAAAGGCUAUGAAAAGAGUAAAUGAAUGGGGGAAUGGGACCAGGGUUGAAGGAAUGAAGGAGGAGGGUCACUUCUCUGAGUAAACCCUCCAAGAAUUUAAUAUGGUGUUUUGUAUAGUUCUGAUUUUUAGAAGCGUGUUGAUAUUUCACAUUCGUGAAAAAGGAAUUAAUUAAUUAGAAUUAACCAGUACAGAGGAAAAUCCAAAAUGGAAUACAAAUACUAACAAAUCACCCUAACUUUGUUACUAAUGAAUUAUAUAACUGCACCAGAGGGAGUGGGGAAGAAAAGAAUUCACCUAAGUAACUUUGGAAAACAGUAUUUUUUUCCUAUAUUCUCUAAAGCUAAAGACAAAAAAAAAAAAAAAAAAAUGAACUGCAACAUACCGUACUCAGGUUACUACUCUGUAUUUCAUAGUGUUAUUAGUUAGAAAUUCUGAAACUGCUUUAUGUGUGUUCUAGGAAUAAGUAAAAAGAAAAUACAUUGUGGAUAAUGAUAGCCAAGUUUCUCAUUUUCAGAGAAAGAAAUUAAAAUAAAGGAAAGGGGAAAGCUAGAGUAAACCAUAUGGUGUGGUUGGAAUAAACCCUUACUAGACCUCUCCAAAGAAGAUAUGCAGAUGACACGUAAGCGGAUGAAAAGAGGCUCCACAUCCUGUGCCAUCAAGGAAACGCAAGUCAAUAAGAUACCUCUACAAAGCAAUUAGAACGGCCAAAAUCUGGAGCACUGACAACACCAGAUGCUGAUAUUCAUUAGGAGUGUUCCAAAAAUUGGAAAUUGGCAAGAUGAAGAAGAUACACCAAUGGAAACUGAAACAGAGCAUCCAUGGAAAAAGGGAGAAAACCUGAGAGAGUCUGUUGUCCUGGAUGCCAAGUGAAGAAGUUGACUCCAAAAGGAAGUGAUAUCAAACCUGAAGCAGAUGCAUCUCUCUUGAAUCCUGGUGAAAGAUACAGACACUCAGCAAGUGAAACUGGUGCUCUUCCCACCAUCUGCUCUCCCUGGGUGAGGACCAUCUCUGCAUCACGUGCUUCACUUGAUUGGCAUUGUUCCAGAGCGAAUAAAUUACUUGACUACAGAAAGAGCAGUUACACUUGAGCUUCAACUAAACAACAACAACAACAAUAGAAAUGAUAAAAGUAACAAUACGAACAACUGUGCAUUUGUUUACCUGCUGGAUUAUUCGGAAAUAUGAGGGCCACAGACACGGACGUGUCUGUUGUCUAAUACCUUGUCUCCUAUGGGACAUAAAGAUCAAAAACUUUUUCCUGAAAAACGCAUGUGAAAUUUACAUACAAUGAAAUUCAUAGAGCCCACAGUUCUUUGAUUGCCCAUUUGAUCAGGGACUAAUUGCCAUAUUAAAAUCACCCUCUGUCAGUUACUACUUUUUUUUUAAUGUGUUGGUUUCUUGUUUAGACAAACAUAUAUAUUUUAUUUCCCCUGAAUAUGGAAUUCUAAUACCUCAGUAUUGAACCUCGACUCAAAUCUUACCCUUUUUUAUAAAUGAGGGGACAGUUUUGUAAAAAUAUUAUUUUUAAUUAUCUAAUACUUUCCUUUCUCUUCUUUCGCCUCUAACAGAAAUAACUCAAUCCUUACGGAAAGAUAUUUGAUAAUAUAGAUUUUAUAGAAAAUCAAGAUAUGUCACCUCUAUUGCAUAAUUCAUUUUAGUGUUUCUAUCCAUCAAAAUACAGCCUUUAUAUGAGAUUUCUCUAAUAAUUUUCUUGCUCCUUGAGAAUAAACAUACAUAAAUGAAGUAAUUGCCUUACAGCAUCUCACUGAGCUGACUUGUUUGUAUUUAGAGAUUCAUACAAUGAUUUGUCCCCAAAGAGCAAUUGAAGUAAUUUUUAAAGAUAGAAAACAUAAAAAUUUUAAUGUGGAGACUAGAAGGAAGGUUUUAAUUAAGGAGUAGGCUGAUAAAUUUCUUGCUGAUGAAAACUCUGACCAUUAAAUUUCUCUGUGAGGAUGAUGAGAGAAAAGAUAAGAGGGUGCUUGUAUAAAUUCAUCAUUAUUAUUACUCAAGGCAAUGAGCUGUUAAGCAGGAGCUUAAUUAUGACCUCCAUUCGUCAUCUUGAUACUUAAUGACGCACCGGAUGCGCUGUUCCUGCUCUGUCAAUUGCCUGCUCUGUCAGUUGACUGAGAUUCCAUGCCAAACGAGUGGCUGUCUUCCACCUCCAGAGGAGAGAGAUGGUUUACGCACGUCCAGCCUCCAGGCAAACACCAACUCACUUUCCUCUCAAAAUGUGGUCUUUCCUGGGACAGGUUCCACCAGAAAUUAGGCUAGAAAUUUGCUUGCUUCCUCACCACAUCUUAGGUCAGAAGAAACAGGAAAAAAAUCGCUCAUCUCUGACUGUUCUCAUCAUAAAUGAUUGAGAUCUGUCAGACGACGGAAUAAUUUUAAAAGGGAGACGGUGGUUUUGGACACGGAGGCUUUCCAGACGCUUCAUUAACUCCAGGAGCUGAUGAAAUGACGUGUCCUGCACAGACGCAGCAAAGGAGCACAGCUAGUUCAGGUGCUGCUGGGCAACCAGCAAUUCCGUUAAAGUCUUGCAUUUUGUUCUCAGAAGAGAUGAGCUCAAGUUGAAUAAAGGAUUGUACUUUUUAAGAAAAACAGACGAGAGGUUAUAAAAAGGAAUAUUUUAGAUUCUUAUAAAUGGAUAAAUUAUUAUCAUUUUUUACUUCUAAACUAUCUUUCACUAAUGAAGAAUACGAUUCUCCAGUUUUCAAAGUGUAAAAAUUAAUAUUAAAUUCCAAAUUUUCUUACCGAUUGAAUCACCCUUCAGCUAUUUCAGGUGUUCGCAAUUGUUUUGUUUUUGGUUUUCAUGGGAAAAGUUAUACCAUAGUUUAGGUAAAGCAACAGCCUUACAAUUUGUUGUGUUUUUUUGGCUGGGUAAAGUAUUCUUUUCAUCUGUAACUCCAAAACUCAAGUGUUAGUCUUCGGUGUUGUACUGACAAAUAUGGCCGAGGUAACACAUAGAAUUAUUUUUGCC